GACAGAGGGUGCAAACGUUGUUCGGAAUUACUGGGCGUAAAGCGCGUGUAGGCUGCUCAGAAAGUCGGAUGUGAAAGCCCUGGGCUUAACCUAGGAAGUGCAUUCGAAAACUUCUGAGCUUGAGUUCUGGAGAGGAAGGCGGAAUUCUCGGUGUAGAGGUGAAAUUCGUAGAUAUCGAGAGGAACACCGGUGGCGAAAGGCGGCCCUUCUGGACAGUGACUGACGCUGAGACGCGAAAGCGUGGGGAGCAAACAGG
rnacentral:rRNA from 1 species